rnacentral:rRNA from 1 species
UACGGGGGGGGCGAGCGUUGUUCGGAAUCACUGGGCGUAAAGGGCGCGUAGGCGGCCCGCACAAGUCUGCGGUGAAAACCUCCGGCUUAACCGGGGAACUGCAUCUGAUACUGGAUGGCUUGAGUUCGGGAGAGGGAUGCGGAAUUCCAGGUGUAGCGGUGAAAUGCGUAGAUAUCUGGAGGAACACCGGUGGCGAAGGCGGCAUCCUGGACCAACACUGACACUGAUGAGCGAAAGCCAGGGGAGCAAACGGG